AGGAUUAACGCUGGCGGCGUGCCUGACACAUGCAAGUCGAACGAGGCCGCAAGGCCGAGUGGCGGACGGGUGAGUAACACGUGACCAACCAACCUCGAAGUUGGGAAUAGCUCUGCGAAAGUAGGGGUAAUACCGAAUGUGGCCCAGGGCGGGCAUCCGCCUUGGUCUAAAGAUUCAUCGCUUCGAGACGGGGUCGCGGCCUAUUAGCUUGUUGGUGAGGUAACGGCUCACCAAGGCGAUGAUGGGUAGCUGGUCUGAGAGGACGACCAGCCACACUGGGACUGAGACACGGCCCAGACUCCUACGGGAGGCAGCAGUGAGGAAUCUUCCGCAAUGGGCGAAAGCCUGACGGAGCAACGCCGCGUGUGGGAUGGAAGACUCUAGGGUUGUAAACCACUGUCGGAGGGGACGAUCGUGACGGUACCCUCCAAGAAACGCCCCGGCUAACUACGCGCCAGCAGCCGC
rnacentral:rRNA from 1 species